rnacentral:rRNA from 1 species
CCUACGGGUGGCAGCAGUGGGGAAUAUUGCUCAAUGGGCGCAAGCCUGAUGCAGCAACGCCGCGUGAAGGAAGAAGGGUUUCGGAUUGUAAACUUCUAUUCUCAGGGACGAAAGAAAUGACGGUACCUGAAUAAGAAGCCACGGCUAACUACGUGCCAGCAGCCGCGGUAAUACGUAGGGGGCAAGCGUUAGCCGGAAUUACUGGGUGUAAAGGGGGAGUAGGCGGCAGGGUAAGGCAGAUGUGAAACCCUUGGGCUUAACCUGAGGAGUGCAUUUGAAACUGUUAUUCUAGAGUACUGGAGAGGUAGGCGGAAUUCCUAGUGUAGCGGUGAAAUGCGUAGAUAUUAGGAAGAACACCAGUGGCGAAGGCGGUCUUCUGGACCGAAACUGACGCUGAGGCGCGAAAGCGUGGGGAGCAAACAGGAUUAGAUACCCUGGUAGUC